rnacentral:rRNA from 1 species
UACGUAGGGGGCAAGCGUUGUCCGGAUUUAUUGGGCGUAAAGCGUGCGUAGGUGGUUUGUUAAGUCUGUUGUGAAAGCCCCGGGCUCAACCUGGGAAUGGCAAUGGAUACUGGCAGGCUAGAGUGCGGUAGAGGGUAGUGGAAUUCCCGGUGUAGCGGUGAAAUGCGUAGAGAUCGGGAGGAACACCAGUGGCGAAGGCGGCUACCUGGACCAGCACUGACACUGAGGCACGAAAGCGUGGGGAGCAAACAGG